rnacentral:rRNA from 1 species
AUUGAACGCUGGCGGCAGGCCUAACACAUGCAAGUCGAGCGGAUGAAGGGAGCUUGCUCCUGGAUUCAGCGGCGGACGGGUGAGUAAUGCCUAGGAAUCUGCCUGGUAGUGGGGGAUAACGUCCGGAAACGGGCGCUAAUACCGCAUACGUCCUGAGGGAGAAAGGGGGGGAUCUUCGGACCUCACGCUAUCAGAUGAGCCUAGGUCGGAUUAGCUAGUUGGUGGGGUAAAGGCCUACCAAGGCGACGAUCCGUAACUGGUCUGAGAGGAUGAUCAGUCACACUGGAACUGAGACACGGUCCAGACUCCUACGGGAGGCAGCAGUAGGGAAUAUUGGACAAUGGGCGAAGGCCUGAUCCAGCCAUGCCGCGUGUGUGAAGAAGGUCUUCGGAUUGUAAAGCACUUUAAGUUGGGAGGAAGGGCAGUAAGUUAAUACCUUGCUGUUUUGACGUUACCAACAGAAUAAGCACCGGCUAACUUCGUG